GCAGUGUGUUAAAUUGGGGGGAGGUCAGGGUAUUAAAUUGGUGGAGGGGGGAGCAGUGUAUUAGAUUGGGUGGCGGGUGCAGUGUAUUGGAUUAGGGGCAAUGAAUUGUAUUUGUGGGCAGUGUAUUAGAUUGGGUCUGCAUGAAGGUGCUGAACGCUCCCCAUGGAGAUGCUGAUUGGCCACCAGCUUUUUGCCACAAAUGCACAAUAGUUCCCCAAUGCUUUCCUAUCUGAAAGCAUGGAUUGGCUGAGAUCAUCAAAGUGAAGAACACACUCAUAGGUCUUCAAAAUCAACAAGAUAACGUAACUUGUUUUUUUACAGCUGUGCAACAGCAUACAUUUACCAUUAAGUCCCAUUACCCAUUUUCUUAAUAUUUCAAGGUAGUUGGACUGAAACAUUGGUUUAUAUGCAAAUGCACGUCUCCUUAAAAUAAAUUUGCUCUUUUGUUUACUUUGAAGCCCGACGAGCGUGAGGACGUCCAGGAUCAGUUAAAUACUUUUUUUUUUAUACUGUACUUUUCUAAAUAAACUUCUGUUUUUAUGAAAACUAAAGCUUUAGUUUUUUUUUUUUGUGGCCCAUAUAAACUUACACCUUGUUUAUUUGGCCCAUGUUGGCCUUUGGGUUUGACAUGCUUGCUGUACAUUAUUGUAAUUUGAGAACUUGAUAUUGGGAUAGUUGAAGUAAACUUGUCUUUCCAGAUUCAACUUAACAGCUCCUACAAAAGUAAAUAUUUUAUUUAUAAUACUGAUAAAUUAUUCAUUAACAUUAGGAGCUGGUUUUAAAUACCGUCUGUGGGUGUUACAUUAUUGUUGUUUUUUUGUUGUUGUUUUUUUUCUGUUUUUUGUUUUUUUUUACCAGAUGCUCCAUCUCAUUAUUACUCUGUGUUAUUACUAUCUUCAGUAAUUGUACAUGUCUUUUGUAGCAUUUAUGCUUCACCGCAUCUCCCCUCAUUAUGGUACCCUGUUUUAACAACUGUAUAUGGUACUGUCUCUGUUCUCAGAAAAGUUUGAUUACUUAAAAUUAAUUAAAAUGGGGCCGCCUAUUCCUGGCACCAAUAUACUACAAUGCGCUCUAGCAGUAAUGAUGCGUGGAGUGGUCCUCUGUCUUUAAAGUGAUUGCGUAUGUCAAGGGAACUUUAAGUAUUCUGAAAUUGUUCAAAAUACAAUAAAACUCUUAAAGCUGGCUUUUAAUAAAAAAUAAAAAAUAAAAAAAAAGGGUUUUCUUGAUAAUGAAAUUAGCAGAAAUGUUAGGCAGAGAGCAGGGAAGUCUGUCUUCCUUUGGCUGGGGAGGGUCUAGACAUGGUGCACCCUGACAAACAUCCUGCUGGUAUAUGUUUUGAACCUUUUAGUAGCACAGCCCUCUGGGAUAAGAAAAGUUUCACCACACUCCCUUAGCCUUCUUUUAUUAUGUCAACUCACAGAAGAUAAACCAAAACAGAUUCUUACUCAACACAUUCUAACCUAUCUACUAAACAGCAAUUGCAGUACAGCAAUCCAGAGGGAUUAUGGGUCUGCAAUUUGCUGAUAAGGUAUCACGUAGUAGGUCCUACUACUAGCUGGACUCAUUCUUUCUUGCUUCCUCUAUAAUAUAUGCAUAAACAAAAGAAACUGGUAACCUGAAAAACUGAGACUAAACAAUAAAAGAACAGUUUGUUGACUGUGAACUGUGAACCAAGACAAAAGGUCUUCUUGCCUGUUGGGUAAGUUGUGGGCAGUGUCUGGGUAGUCAAGUUCCUGACGAAGUGGAAUCUCCAUCUCUCGUUAUAAAAGGCACAGCACAAUGUAAUCAAUAGAGAAAAUGGCUGCAUGUUAGCUCAGCUCCGGCAAGGCAGGCACUAAAAAUAGCUGGAACACAAGUACCAACGAAAAUGGGGAACCCCAAAAAACCACAGAGCGCCCACACAAGCAGCGAGAAAGCACCCGCUGAGAAACCUGGCUCCGUUUCGAAAUUCUUUAAAGAUUAUGGCGGAACAUGGCAAAGCAAAUAUGGCGCCGAUGGAGGGAGAACACCUCUCCACUCCACCCAGCCCUGCUGCCUCCGAGACAUCAGCAGCAUCUGCGGACCAAGACAUUAAGGACCUGCUCAGAAAUUUGCCCUCCAAGACAGACCUCACUGCAAUGCUGGAGAAAUUUGAAACUUCAUUCCAGCGAAAGAUGGAGGGACUGGUAGUUGAAAUCCGGGAGGUAGGCCUCCGUGUCCAAGACCUGUCAGACCGUUUAGACGCCCUCAGAGAGACACAACAGCGAAGGGUAACUCGCAGACAGUGCCACUGUUCUGGACAUACAAGAAAGUCGAGCUGGGCCUGAUACUGAGACAUUGAACUACAUGCCGCUCCUCCAAGUCAUAACGAGAUGCACGAGAGACUUCCAUGGACCAGGUCGUAUGCUCAUAAGUUCACAAUUUGUGUAUGAAGUAUUGUUGUAUGUUGAAUGUAGUGACACAGGCUAACUAAGCAAAGCUGCACCCGCUAAAAAAAAAAAUAUUCCUGUUCUAAUUUUGGGUAACUAUGACAUCUCCGCCCUGGAACCUAGCCUCUACCCUUCCUCUACACCUCACCCCAUAACGCAACAACUGAAGUUAUGAUCUCCCCCAGCUCCAAUCGAACACGACAAAUGCAAGUGCCUGCUUGCCCACCGACACAUGCACGCCACACACCAACAAUAUAGCACAUACAUCCCCGCAGUCACACAGGCUGCACCAUCACCGACACACCUCACGUUUCCUCAGAGCUGGCGACGUCUACUGACCCACCCUCUGUGAUACUCGAACCAGCACAGGUGGACACCGACUGGCAACCUAACUGAGGCUCCAGCAUUUCACCUAAACCACUACAUAAACAUAAUCCAGAGGUGCACAGGAUAAACUACUGCAUACAUUCCUUACCAACAUACAGCUCCUGGAUGCCUGGAGGCUCCAGCACCCAGACACACGUGACUACACGUUUUACUCAGCACCCCACGGCACAUACUCGAGAAUAUUCCUAAACGGUGUAGGGAUGUCCAAACUCAUGCAUACCGACAUAGGCAGCAUCACUUGGUCAGACCACGCGGAUAUAUCAAUUACGUUAGACAAACUCAAAUACUCCGCGACAUGGACCUGGCACCUUAACAUAAGCUUACUAAACAGCGACACAAUAUGUGAGGACACGCGCACUCUCAUUAUAGAAUAUUUCACACAAAACACCACACCAGAGGUAGACUCAAUAGCGCUAUGGGCGGCCCACAAAGCGGUCAUGAGAGGACACUUCAUAAAAGCGGCAACGCAUAAAAAUAAAUGCAACACCCGAGCUCUAAUAGAAUUUCAGGAUGCCCUGAGAAAAGCAGAACAGCACAAACAAAAUCCCACAGCCGAAAAAUUAGCUGUACUCACCGCUCUAAGACAUUCAAUCAGGGGGAUCCUGCUUGAGGGGGUCGCACACUCCAUCCAGAGAUCUAGGUGACUGUUCUACGAAAAGUCCAACAAAAUGGACUCCCUGUUAGCCAAAGCACUGCACCCCCGCGGGGACCACAAACCCAUCACAAAAAUACGCGCACACACCCAGGAACUAGUAAAGAUUCCCCAAGACAUAAACGUUAUUCACGGAGUUCUACUCGAACCUCUACAGUCAGUCCCAACACCUACAAAGCCUGCCGGAACAAAUACGUUCCUCACUACGUACCUUUCUUGCCAGCAUAAAACUUCCUGAGAUAACAGAUGAUGACCCCACAAACUUACAAGAACCAAUCUCCCAAUUAGAAGUAGAAACUGCCAUAGCGGUCUUGAAAGGGAACAAAGCCCCAGGCCCCGACGGCUACGAGAUAGGGUAUUACAAGAAAUUCAAAGCGGAACUGGCCCCCCAACUCACCUCUUUAUAUAACCACUUUAGGACAGGCGGUGUGUUAGAUGCCGACAUGGCACUAGCCAACAUCAAGCUCAUCCCGAAACCCGGGAAAGACUUGCAGCAAAUUACAGGCCCAUCUCCCUGAUCAACUCGGACCUUAAAAUAUAUGCUGUCAGGGUAUUUAUAUCGGCAGACAUUUUGUGCUAUGAUAGAAAUUAAAAGUGUAUAUUCUGAGUCACUCUGAACAGACCAGACUCCAUUUUGUUAUUUUCAAGUUAACAAAAAGACACAAGAUUUCUAUCUGUAAAACUAACCACUUUGCCAGAGCUAAAGGAAUGCAUAUUAUAAACAAACCAAAUGAUAAGCAGAAAGGGGGUUGGAUAAACUGUCUAAAAUGCUAAUGGAAUAUAAUCAAUUCUAAACCCAGACAUUUGUGACAGAGAAGAUUAAAUAAUUUUAUUUUACCUUCUAGAUAUGUAAGGUACCAGUGUAUGGAAAAGGUUAAACUUAGUUCAUGAUCUGCCAUAUCAGAAAUUAUAGCAGGAAUUGCAGACACUAAGUCUGGACAAAACUAAGAGAAAACCCUUUGAAAUUUUAAGUUAUGGCACUAUCAAGAUAGGCCAAAAUGACGUCAAAAUAGCCACCAGGAAAAGUUAACUCUUUCCUGGAUAGGUAUGUUUAGUGGGACAAGACUGCCCUCUAUAGAUCAAAUACCUAAAUUGCGAUCUGGAAGAUAACCACACCUCUAGUGCUUCUAUUGGGUUAUCAACUGAUGACGUACAGAGAGUCUGGCCCUUUAAAAGUUAAGACAAAGGGAAGAUAGAGGUAUGCGGAUGCAAAGGAGAAGGAAAAAGAGGAGAGAGGAAUUGGAAGUUUGGGGGACUCCAACUCGGACAACAUCUGAGACUAACACUCUACUCUUAAAACUCUAACACUUAGAAUUUUACUGACUUCCUAACCAACACCACCUUUCACCAUAACUCAAUGCAGACAGACAUCCAAAUAAGUAUGAUAUAUGACUAGGAUAAAGCACGGUCAGAUUUCCAUAUUAAUAAAUUUUAGUUAACUAAAGAAUAUAUAGUUAUAAACAUUCCAUUCUGCAGGUGGAAUUAAGAAUAAUUAUAUAUUGAUGUGAUAUCACGUGGUAGCAUACCGUUGUUUUUAUCCAGGUGUAUUGAUUUGCUCUAAUAUAAGAUAGAUAUCUUUUAGACAAAUUAAAAUCUGCUUAUAUAAUCAUGGUAGAUUCUCUUAUUGGAUGGUUCCAGGAAAUGACUAAUGAACUGGUUUAAAUGUUAUUUUAUUUAAAAUUACAUAAGAAUAGAUCUUAACUACCUAGGAGAUCUAGCCAGCAUUGAAAGGGUUAUUCUAACUGUUAGCCAGGGUUUUAUGGCCCUUCGCUGUGAAAAGUUUCACUUUCAGUCUGUGUUAAAGAUACCUCAUAAAUCAGAAGACUUGACAGAAAAUGCUGUUUAGCCAUUGAAAUGUGUAUAGCCAUUACUUUGUAUUGCAUACCAUUUUAUACUGGAUAUUCAUUGAUUAUUGUCACGCAUGUUACAU